UACAUUUUAUAGUCCCUUCUCGAUAGAAGGAGGUCCCUGCUCAUUCUCAAACCGUGUGCUUGGAAAACGAUCUAUUUCGGAAGAGUUAAAUGCAAGCUGUUGUUAUUGAAGAUAACUGAAGAGGGAAUCCAAAUGGAUCAAAAUGUACAUGAGGAUUAAUGUGGCUAAAACCCAACCUAGAUAAGAGCCUCGCAUCAAGGAUAACAUGGCAGCAGAAAAUGUCCAAAAUGAGAAGGCACCAUCCCCUGUUACUCCAAAUCCAGCUAUGACUUCAUGUCGGAAGAAGAAGAGCGAACAAGCAAAUUUUCUAGAAGAUAUCAAGGAUCACAUGGAUGAAUUCAUUCAUGCUUCCAUGGAUGAACACAAAACUUGCUUCAAGAAGACCAUUCAAAAGAUGUUUGGCAUGUCAAAAAUUGUUGCGGAAAGGAAUGCUGAGGCUAAAGAGGUUGAAAGUUCUCUUCCCCUGCAAACAACAUUGGCUAAGUAGGAUUUUUGGCACAUCUUGAUUUGAUGGCUAGUAUCAAUAGAGUAGAAAAGAAUGACAUCUGACUUUUCACUAUGCUGUCUAUGUUCUAUUGAUCUAUGGAAUGCUCUUGAUUUGUAGCUUCCACUCUCUUAUUUCCACUGUCUGUAUUAGUAUCUCAAUUGUUGUGUAGAACUUGGAUUCGUUGAUUUCAUUGAAGUGAAUAGAUUCACUGGUUU